rnacentral:lncRNA from 1 species
CAAAAAUUAGCUGGGCAUGGUGGUGGGCACCUGUAAUCCUAGCUACGUGGGAGGCUGAGGCAGGAGAAUCGCUUGAACCCAGGAGGCGGAGGUUGUAGUGAGCUAGGAUCAUGCCAUUGCACUCCAGCCUGGACAGCAAACCUAGACUCCAUCUCAAAAAAAAAAAAGAAAAAGUAAAAAAUUUAAAAAUUAGAUGGGCAUGGUGACAUGUGCCUGUAAUCCCAGGUACUAAGGAAGCUGAGGUAGGAGGAUGACUUGAGCCUGGGAGUUCGAGGCUGCAGUGAGCUCUGAUCGCACCACUGCACUCCAGCCUGAGUGACACAGCAAGACCCUGCUUCAAAAAAAAAAAAAAAAAAAAUUACUGGACACAAUUAUUGUGCCAGACCCCUAGGUUAACAGUGAGGAUUCAGUGGGAGAACUAAACAGAUAAACAGAUCCAGUCCCCGCCCUCAGAGAGUUACAGUUUAAUGGGAAAAAGAGACAUUCACCAAAGAAGGACACAGCCCACUAGUGAGUUACACUCGAGAGGGAUCAUUUACAGAACAAAGCAGACUAUAAAAAUACAGCGAUUGGCUGGGCGCAGUGGCUCACGCCUGUAAUCCCAGCACUUUGGGAGGCAGAGGCGGGCGGAUGACUUGAGGUCAGGAGUUCUCAACCAGCCUGGCCAAAAUGGUGAAACCCCAUCUCUACUAAAAACACAAAAAUUAGCCAGGCGUGGUGGUGGGCACCUGUAAUCCUAGCUAGUUGGGAGGCUGAGGCAGGAGAAUGAAUCGCUUGAACCCAGGAGGUGGAGGUUGCAGUGAGCUGAGACCGCACCAUUGCACUCUAGCCUGGGCAACAAGAGCAAAACUCCGUCUCAAAAUACAUACAUACAUACAUGCAUACAUACAUACAGGGAUUAAAAUAGUCUAGUACUGACACCUGAACAGACAGAUUGAUCCAAGAAAUGAAACAGAAAUUCCAGAAGUUGACCUGAAUACACACAUACACACACACACACACACACACACACACACACAGGAAGGCGUGAAAGACUCCAUGACCCUCAAGGUAUAAGAUGCAUUUUUUUUUUUUUUUUGAGACAGGGUCUCACUCUGUCACCCAGACUGGAUGCGGUGGUGCACUAUCCCAGCUCAGCUCUACCCUCCAUCCCCCCAAC